rnacentral:rRNA from 1 species
CUUGGUCAUUUAGAGGAAGUAAAAGUCGUAACAAGGUUUCCGUAGGUGAACCUGCGGAAGGAUCAUUAUUGAAUCCUUAGGAUGCUGCUGGCCUCUAGGGGCAUGUGCACUCCACCUUUCAAUCCACCUGUGAACUUAUUGUAGGCCAGAUGUAAAAAGUCUGUGUCUAUGUUUUUAAUACACCCUUAUAAAAAGUUUAUAGAAUGUCUAAUGAUAGACCUUUGAUGGUCAAAAACUUUAAUACAACUUUCAACAAUGGAUCUCUUGGUUCUCGCAUCGAUGAAGAACGCAGCGAAUUGCGAUAUGUAAUGUGAAUUGCAGAAUUCAGUGAAUCAUCGAAUCUUUGAACGCACCUUGCACCCUUUGGUAUUCCGAAGGGUAUGCCUGUUUGAGUGUCAUUAAUAUCUCAACUUCAAAAAUGUUUAUUGUUUUUGAAGCUUGGACUUUGGAGGUUUUGUUGCAGGCAAUUAACAUUGUCAGCUCCUCUUAAAUGCAUUAGCGGAACUUUGUUAAGGACCAGCUUUGGUUUGAUAAAUCCUAUCUAUGCCGUCGCUGUGGACUUUGUGUUAUGUUCAGCUUCUAAUGGUCUUUGGGCUGUCUCUUUAUUGAGGCAUACACUUUAAGCUUGACCUCAAAUCAGGUAGGACUACCCGCUGAACUUAAGCAUAUCAAUAAGCGGAGGA